ensembl:lncRNA
GUUUUGUUUGCAUCCAAACUGCCCAAACCUGGCGAGGAGCGUCUCGCUGCAGCCUGCGGUGGACAUCCAACCCGGCCCACAUCCAAGUGUGACGUCACAGACCACGCCCAUGUCAAAAUACGUCACAUUCUCAAUCAUUUUGAAACAGGAAGAAGCAUCGAUAAGAAGAUAAUUUGUAUUGUUUGCCAACCGCUAAAAAAUAAGCUGUUGUUUGCCGUGUCGCAUUCUACACAUUUUCAGUCCAAGCCUGAUGCAGAGCAGUUCUCCCGGGUGAAGGGGUCCCUGCUGCAGUUUCACCAGUAAAGAAAAUUACUUGUUACAGUUCACUUGAAGGACCACAUAAGCCAUGCAGUGGUGCAUGGAGGUAUGGAGCGCCAAGAGGACAUAAAGUGGAAGUUUGUAAGGGACAUUGGUCCAGCGUGGUACAGAGUCAUCGUGGGUUAUUCUGUGGGGAGGUGACAGGGCCUGCCGUUCUCCAGAUGGACAGUAAAAAUCAACAGAAUGCCAUCAAAGACUACCUGGAGGGAGAAUCGGAGGAUAUAUUGAAGCAAGGAAUCUCUCUGUGUAGUCUAUGUAUGUAUGUGUGUGUACUGCAUGUCAAGAACUGUUUAUCUGAUCAUUCAGCUGUUCAUUCAGCUGCUCAGACUUUAUAAUAUUUGGAGCAUAUCUUUUGUUAAACACAACCAGUCAAAAGUUUUUGAACAGUGAGUUUUUUAUGUUUUUAAAGAAAUCUCUUCUGCUCAUCAAGCCUGCAUUUAUUUAAUCCGAAGUACAGCAAAAACAGUCCAAUUUUAAAAUAUUUGUAUAAUAUUUUGCUAUUUAAAAUAACAAUUUUCUAUAUUUCUAUUAAAAUGAAAUGUAUUCCUGUGAUUUCAAAGGUGACUUACUCCAGUCACAUGAUCCUUCAUUCUAAUAUGCUGAUUUGAUGCUCAAAAAACAUUUUAUUAU